rnacentral:rRNA from 1 species
GCUGAACUUAAGCAUAUCAAUAAGCGGAGGAAAAGAAACUAACAAGGAUUCCCCUAGUAACUGCGAGUGAAGCGGGAAAAGCUCAAAUUUAAAAUCUGGCGUUUUCGGGCGUCCGAGUUGUAGUUUAGAGAAGCGUUUUCCGCGCCGGACCGUGUACAAGUCUCCUGGAACGGAGCGUCAUAGAGGGUGAGAAUCCCGUCUUUGACACGGACUACCGGUGCUCUGUGAUGCGCUCUCGAAGAGUCGAGUUGUUUGGGAAUGCAGCUCAAAAUGGGUGGUGAAUUCCAUCUAAAGCUAAAUAUUGGCGAGAGACCGAUAGCGAACAAGUACCGUGAGGGAAAGAUGAAAAGCACUUUGGAAAGAGAGUUAAACAGUACGUGAAAUUGUUGAAAGGGAAACGCUUGAAGUCAGUCGCGUUCGCCGGGACUCAGCCUUGCUUCGGCUCGGUGNACUUCCCGGUGUACGGGCCAGCAUCACUUUUGAUCGUCGGAAAAGGGCGAGGGAAAGGUGGCACCUUCGGGUGUGUUAUAGUCCCUUGUCGUAUACGAUGGUUGGGAGUGAGGAACUCAGCACGCCUUACGGUCGGGGUUCGCCCACGUUCGUGCUUAGGAUGCUGGCGUAAUGGCUUUAAACGACCCGUCUUGAAACACGGACCAAGGAGUCUAACAUGCCCGCGAGUGUUCGGGUGGAAAACCCGUGCGCGUAAUGAAAGUGAAAGUUGGGACCUCUAUCGUGGAGGGCACCGACGCCCGGACCAGACCUUCUGUGACGGUUCUGCGGUAAAGCGUGUAUGUUGGGACCCGAAAGAUGGUGAACUAUGCCUGAAUAGGGUGAAGCCAGAGGAAACUCUGGUGGAGGCUCGUAGCGAUUCUGACGUGCAAAUCGAUCGUCAAAUUUGGGUAUANGGGCGAAAGACUAAUCGAACCAUCUAGUAGCUGGUUCCUGCCGAANUUUCCCUCCA